rnacentral:lncRNA from 1 species
CCACGGUUUCUAAAAAAUAAAGCCUAUAGCAACGUAUUAGGUUUCCCUCCCUGUUUUUUCUCUUCUAAUUUCGCGAAGUAUAGUUUUUAUUUUAAUUAGUAUGUAUAUCCAAUUAAUAAGAAGAAAAAAUCUAAGUCAUAUGCAGCGUCCCAAAUACUCUUAACUCCAGCAGAAGGACACUCUUAAGCAAGGCAAAUCUCUGACAAUGGCGCACUCUCCGACGUCGUAGGUCUCUCAUUGAUUUUCUUCUAUGUCUAGGUAGGAGUUUCUUCUCCAAGAUUAAUUGUAGACUUGUAGUUUAGUUUACUUCUCUCAAUUUCUCUCACACAGUAACCCACUAACAUUCGCCAUAUCUUUAAUUGGUAAACUUUUUAUUAAUCAGUUGUGAGGGAUAACUUUAUUGUUGUUCAGUAGAAGGUGCAGCAGGUUAUUCCGUCACUUUCAGUUGGUAAAUCAAAGGUAUGGUCUUCCUCUCGCUUUUGACAAGUUAUCUUCUUUAACUUUUUAGAGUCAAAAUUGACACUGAUAAAGGGAGAUAGAAAAUGGUUUUAAAAAUUUAGGGUUUGAGAUUUUUGGCUACUUGUAAUGAAUCAAUCCCAUAAUUAUUGGGUGAGUUUGUCAUGAAGUUGCCCUUGAAAUUUCGGGCAAGAACUACAUGACAUGGGUGUUGGAUGCUGAAAUGCAUUUGGAUGCAAUGGGUCUUGGAGACGACAUUAAAGACAGAAAUAAUGCAUCCACCCAAGACUGUGCUAAGGCCUUGAUUUUCUUGCGCCAUCACCUUAAAAUUGACACUGAUAAAGGGAGAUAGAAAAUGGUUUUAAAAAUUUAGGGUUUGAGAUUUUUGGCUACUUGUAAUGAAUCAAUCCCAUAAUUAUUGGGUGAGUUUGUCAUGAAGUUGCCCACAAGGUGUUUGAUGCUUUUCCUCAAUGAAUCUCUGCCACUUGUUUAAAUUUCUAUCAUGUAAGAAAUCUGGUCAAUGUUGGUUGUGCAAUUUCUCGGGUAUUUGCCACGUUCCACUGCUAUCGUUGCCAGGUUAGGUUUUCGUCAGUGGUCCGCGUCACUUUCUUCCGAGUAUUUGUACUUGCUUCCCUUCAAGGUGGUGUUUUCUCUAGCAGCCUUGUUCAGAGUUGAUAUUCUGACAAAUUUGUUAAUAUAUUCCAAUUCAAAGACCGGGUUUUCUGGUGUAUGGCUUCUAGGCGGAACACUCCUUACAGUCAUCUUGCUGUGGAUGAAGAUGAGGACUAUUAUGGUAGUUCUGGCAGGCGACCUGACCCUAGAUUUGAUUAUUCACCAAAAUCGUUACAUAGAAUUCCCUGGAAGUCUGUUGCCCUUGCUCUUUUUCUGCUCUUUCUAGGAUGUCUGCUUCUCUUGCUAUCAUACUUCAUCUUAUCUUGUCAUAUGGGAGGAGAGCGCUUACAGGCAUAUGGUCUUCUUGGACUUGGAAUUCUCACUUUUCUCCCUGAUAAGUAAAACGUUCAUCUGUUUUAUAUUGCUUUGGAUGAGUAAGCUAUAAAUCUUGUUUAAGGUAUUUCAAGAUAUCCUUGUUGAGAGUGUAGCAGUCCAUUAAAUCCAGAGUCAUGUUACAGUUGCACCAUUGUUUGGCAGUAUGAAUGCCAAUUUGAAUUAACAAGGUAACUUCCAUUGAAUCUGUGAGCAUUUAAAUUGGUGAGACAGCAAAUGGUAGGACUACUUUUUAUUUUAUCUACCUUCUCUCUGUAGUUGCAAGAAACCCCAUAUCAAGGUGAUUGGGCCGUGCACUUGAAAAUGAUCACACAUAUAUAUCAUACUGUAUUAUAAGUGAAAAGCCCCACGUACAAAGUUAAACGACUAAAAUAGCCAUCAAUAAGUGAACUCACUUUUAGCCCUUCAUUAAAACACUACUACUUCAAUAUUUUUGGUCAAAAAUAUAAAUAGACGUUUCAACUUAUAUAUAUUUUUUUCCUCCACUCGUAUUUUCAGUUAAAUGCUCUUUUAAUUUGGAGGUAGAAUUUCAGAAUACAAUAGUUAAUGUCUAAAAGUGAAAGAAUCCGUUCAUUAGCUUGAACCAAUAAAUUAAUAUAGUAGUAUUUAUGUAGGCACAAAUGCAAAGCUAAUAUCAUUUUGUGGACAAGCAGAUAGGAAUUUUCAAAUGUUGCCACCAACUACAGAAAGGACUCCUUGAAAUUUUCAUAUCGAUGCUUGGUCAAUUUUCUCACAAGCGUCAGUAUUUUUCAAAGCAAGUGAUUAAAGUUUUUUCUUACUUUUGUUGGUAGAUUGAUGUAGGUUUCCUCUACUUGGAAAGGGGUUUAUUUUAUGGCAUUAUUUUUUGUGGCUUGAGAACUAAUUAGGUUCAAAGACAUAUAUGCAUAUUCUUAUACUUGUUUAUUCUUUCUGACUCUUCUCUUCCUCAUUUUAUGUUGGUGUAGACGCUCGGUAGGUAUAUUUUAUUUCUUGUGAAGUUUUUCUCCUUGUUAGAAAAUUCUCUCUUCAAUUGACUUUAUUUUAUUAUUGGAAACAUAUCACAAUUUAAUGUCUUGAGCCGAGGGUCUCCUAGAAAUAGUCUCCCUACCCCGAGGGGUAGGGGUAAGGUCUGCGUACAUAUCAUCCUCCCUAGACCCCACUUAUGGGAUUAUACUGGGUUGUUGUUGUUAUUGUUGUUGUCUCAAGAGUUCAACUGAUAUUCUAAAGUUUAUACAGAGUAAUGGAGGGAGACUAUUUGUCAUUUUCAUAUAGUUUUUAAUUACGAUUGUAGGAUAUUUUUGAUAAACUGUUAUUGAAUUGUGUUAAAGCAUCAAAUAUCAAGUUCAAAUUAACUGAGAUGUCAAAGUUGAGGUGUCAUUUUCUUCAAUCAAAACCAAAUCUUGUAUCAGGGUUUCUAAAAGUUGAAGAUGAAGUAAAACUAGAUAGCGUCAUAUAUGCAAGUGAGCUCAUUUUCAGGUUUCUUAUUUAAUCCUUGCAAGGAAUAGCACCACAUUUUGCGGCUGGUGCUUUCGUGGCCUCAAGGCUCAUAGGGGUUUUGUUUGCAAGGCGAGCUCAUUAGUCUUUCUAAAUUCAAAAUGUAUUUGCUCUAGGUGUGGUAUCUCUCAUGCUCUCUAUAUACCCGUACUCCUUAAACAAAUAUCAUAAUUAAUUAUAAGGUACGUUUGGCUAUUCUUUUUGUCUUUUAAUUUCUUCUUUCAGCUAGUCACUUGGAUAUGCCACUAUCCCUUGACUUUUGUGUAAUUUGAAUCAUAAACAUAUACUCUAAACAUAUUACAAUGGGAGAUUUAGAGACAUCUCAAAUAGCAUUAGUAGAAGCAUAUAAGUCUUUCACAAAGAAAAGUCAAUUUUUUAUUUUUCUGGAAGAUAGUUUUUACCAUUAUUGUCGCAGCAAGUACUCAAUGCUUCUGAUCACCAAGUUUUUUUUGCAUCUUUGGUUAUACUAUACAUGCGAGUUUUCUUCAGUUAUUUGCUAUAUGCAAGUAUAUUGCAUGUCCUUAGCUAGCAGGAUAUGCUUUAAAGAUCACCUUUGCAUUAAGAAGGUCAACUUCAAACGGAUGCAAUUUAUUUGUGCAAUAAAGCUUGCUAUCCACGGUUUUAAGUUGAUAAACCUGAAAUUAAAAAUCCCCUUAGAGGGAAAAGCAUUACAGUCGAUGAGACACAAGGUUUGGCUAAUCUUUUUUGCUUUUUCUUUUUUGGUCUGUAAAUAAUAGACCUAACAUCCAAAUAAUAGACUUAGCAUUACAGUCGAUGAGACUUAUCAUGCCAUUCAAGUCUUCAAUGAUGAAUCUUAGAAACUUUUUUUUCCCUUAAAUUGGUUUUACCAAAUAGAGUUCAGCUUAGGAAAGAAAAAUAGGUGGAAGUUCCAGUGACUAAAUAUGUUUAUGGAAGAUGGUACCUGCUAAUGUUCAGAAGGUUGUGAAGAAAUAAGAAGGUACUAUUAUAGCACCCUUUUAUUUAAUGCAUCUAACUUUAAGUAAAUAUCUAGUGUUCGUGACAUACUAGUGUUCUUUUAGGUACUGCUUAUCUUAGUCUAUUUAUCGUCCUUAAAAUAGAAAAAGAAAAGAGAAGAAAAGGUUGUUGGUUUUGCAAAAUGAACAAUAGUUUUUCUAGGUAUGAGCUGCUGGUUUUUCAGCAGCUGCUUGUGUAUCUUCCUUAUGCACAACCUUCUCGCUUCCAUCCUUCAAAAGAGCUAUUUGUGAACCAGUAUUGGACUGAUCAGCAGUGAGAUAAAUAGCAUGUUUAGCUACUGCCUCAACACCUGUAGUCAUUGCCUGGUCCACUCCCAACUAUUAUUUGUUGAUUGUUGCUAAUUUUGUACUUAGCAGCAGCUGCUCGAUCCUAAAAUUGUUAUUGUUUAACACCUGGAGUCUUUCUUUUGCUAGGUGAUCGAUUGACAUAUAACCAGCCUCUAUCUUUAGCUUGAUCAUCGUUGCUACUGGAAUUUGCAGCCACUUGGUCACAUUCCUGUCCACCUUUAUUUCCUUUCUGUUGCCUCGCAAUUUUAACCUGCACCUUAGCCUAUUUCCUUAAAGUUGCAGAAUUGCCUAGCUUCAACAUGUGCAUUGUUAAGUGUAUUUGAUUUCACCUCUAAAGCAGCAAUGUUAUCAGGCAGCUGCUCACCAGAUUUAUCAGAGUUGAUCUUCUGACAAACAUCCGUGGCAUCACCUUGUAAUUUUUCUACAGGUUGAACAUCUUCCUCGACCUCGUCAUAAACACAUUGAGCUGCUGCUACUGUUUUUCUUUGUAAACUAUGACAAUCUAUCUCCUCAUGGCCUUGGCGCUUACAAUUGCAACAAUAUGAUGGGACUGUUGGAGCUUACAAUGGUCUUGGCGCCUAAAAACACACAUUUACUAUUAUUAUUGAUGUGAUCUUAUAAAUUUUGUACUUCAAAAUUAGUCAUCUAAAAGUAGUCACAAUGUAAAUAGAUGAACUGUUGGUUGAAGAUAACCUCAAUUUUCGUACUUGUUGAAGUAUUGGAUGAAGAUGCUUAUUUUUUUUUUCCUUACCAUCUAAAUAUUGUUAUCUUCUAAAUAUUGUUAUUUCUUUUGAAUUUUGUAGGUGAAGGAAAUGAACAAAUGGGAGAUGAAAGUAGUGAAGACCUUAAAGAGUAUUGAUUGAUCUACACCUUCAGAUGUUUUGGGACUGUUCUUAUUUUUGAAUAUUUUGUAAACUUAUAUGCAAUUUAACUCUUGAAUAGUUAGUCAAUAUUCUAUAAUAUUUGGAGUAUACUAGUUGGAUAUUUUAGAUGAUGAUUUUGUUGAUGAAUAUAGUUUCCUUUCAUGG